UUAAUAGAAAACAAAUACAUUUGCUUUCAGGCGAUAUAAUUAUGUGUUCUGUUGAAAGGCAAACACUUAACAUAAUAAUCUCUAAAUCUGUCCCCACUGUCACUGUUCGCUGAUAUAUCUCAUAUAACCCUUUAGCCUUAUCAAUAUUUCCACAGCCAGUUAGUUCUCUCCUCGCCCGCCACUUC